ensembl:lncRNA
AGGGGGUACCGGUACAGAGUCAAUGUGGAGGCUAUAUACAGGGGGUACCGGUACAGAGUCAAUGUGGAGGCUAUAUACAGGGGGUACCGGUACAGAGUCAAUGUGGAGGCUAUAUACAGGGGUACCAGUACAGAGUCAAUGUGGAGGCUAUAUACAGGGUGUUACGGUACAGAGUCAAUGUGGAGGCUAUAUACAGGGGUACCGGUACAGAGUCUAUGUGGAGGCUAUAUACAGGGUGUUACGGUACAGAGUCAAUGUGGAGGCUAUAUACAGGGGUACCGGUACAGAGUCUAUGUGGAGGCUAUAUACAGGGUGUUACGGUACAGAGUCAAUGUGGAGGCUAUAUACAGGGGGUACCGGUACAGAGUCAAUGUGGAGGCUAUAUACAGGGUGUUACGGUACAGAGUCAAUGUGGAGACUAUAUACAGGGUGUUACGGUACAGAGUCAAUGUGGAGGCUAUAUACAGGGGGUACUGGUACAGAGUCAAUGUGGAGGCUAUAUACAGGGUAUUAUGGUACAGAGUCAAUGUGGAGGCUAUAUACAGGGGGUACUGGUACAGAGUCAAUGUGGAGGCUAUAUACAGGGUAUUACGGUACAGAGUCAAUGUGGAGGCUAUAUACAGGGUAUUACGGUACAGAGUCAA